rnacentral:rRNA from 1 species
CAGUAGCCGCGGGAAUACAGAGGGUGCAAGCGUUAAUCGGAAUUACUGGGCGUAAAGCGCGCGUAGGUGGUUUGUUAAGUUGGAUGUGAAAUCCCCGGGCUCAACCUGGGAACUGCAUCCAAAACUGGCAAGCUAGAGUAUGGUAGAGGGUGGUGGAAUUUCCUGUGUAGCGGUGAAAUGCGUAGAUAUAGGAAGGAACACCAGUGGCGAAGGCGACCACCUGGACUGAUACUGACACUGAGGUGCGAAAGCGUGGGGAGCAAACAGGAUUAGAUACCCGUGUAGUCCCUGUCUCUUAUAU